rnacentral:rRNA from 1 species
UAGGGAAUCUUCCACAAUGGACGAAAGUCUGAUGGAGCAACGCCGCGUGAGUGAAGAAGGUUUUCGGAUCGUAAAGCUCUGUUGUUGGUGAAGAAGGAUAGAGGCAGUAACUGGUCUUUAUUUGAUGGUAAUCAACCAGAAAGUCACGGCUAACUACGUGCCAG